rnacentral:rRNA from 1 species
AAUCAACGCUGGCGGCGUGCCUCAGACAUGCAAGUCGAACGCGAAAGUCCCCUUCGGGGGACAAGUAGAGUGGCGCACGGGUGAGUAACACGUAGGUAAUCUACCUUCGGGUGGGGAAUAACAACCGGAAACGGUUGCUAAUACCGCAUAAUGCAGCGGCACCUAAUGGUGACAGUUGUUAAAGCGGGGGAUCGAAAGACCUCGCGUCUGAAGAGGAGCCUGCGGCGGAUUAGCUAGUUGGAAGGUAAUGGCUUACCAAGGCGACGAUCCGUAGCCGGCCCGAGAGGGCGGGUCGGG